rnacentral:lncRNA from 10 species
AGGAAGGUCUCCAAACAGACAGGGGCCCACGCACCGGCACGCACGCACACAAAGACCCAAGGCCAGUCUGCGGGCUGUGCAGCUGGCGAGCCUGUGUCCCCGUCCCCAUGCGUGCCCUCAGGAUUUCAUGACAAGAAUGAAACUGAUCAGGCAGCCUCCAGCUCCAUAAUUAGGGCCAAUUGAAGGAGACAAAGAAAUCUAUGGAGAUCACAGUGGGAAGUGGUAGUGAUGAACGCUGGCUUUGAAACAGCGUUUUGUACUCACUGGACCAUCACUGUCUUUACAUAAAAGCUGCCUGCCUCCUUUCCCUCACUCCCCUCCCUGGGAGCAGAGGCCGCCGGGGAGGCAGGCUCCAGACAGCCCCUCCAGCAAUUGCCUUUUCUGGGUCAGGCCUCAUUUCUCGUGGCACGACAGGAGGAGGACGGGGGGCGGGUGAGGCCUCCUCUUUUGUUUUUUUGUGUUUUGGCAGUGGGUAAAGACAAAAGGCAGGCAUGAAAAGCCCCCACUCUCACAUGCAUCUGAAUAUGGGGGUGCUGCAGGAAGGUGACUCACUCACUGGCAUGCUGGGAGAGCACAGGGCCCGUGUGUGAGUUUGCGUGCGAAUGUGUGAGCAUGUGUGAGUUCCUGCGUGUGUGACUUCAGGCGUGUGUGUGUGUGUGUUUGUGUGUGUGUUGGAAUGGGGGUGGGGGGCGGUCCUGGAAAGGCCGAGAGCCUUGGAAUCUGAGGAGUCUGCAGCCCAUUCUUGAUACUGCUUUACUUUCCAAAAAGUUAUGACAACAAAACCACCCUGGGGCCCAGACCUGGAAGCCGUCAGCUAUGGAGGACCCUGGAAGCAGGCAGAGAAAGGUUUGGAGUUUUCAGUGCGAUGACACCAGCGUGCCUGCGGAAGUGGCUGUGUCUCCUCUUGCCUCCUUCCCCACCCAAUUCCGCCCCAGGAGCCCAGGGAUGGAGGCCCAGGAGACGGAUCCCACAAGAGCCAGCACCCACUCCACCCCAGUUUGUGUUUUCUAGAACCCCAUAAGAUUCGGAUGCAGCCAGUGGGGGACAGGAACUUCAGCAGGGGAAGCCGCAGCCCUGGGUGUAGACCCCAUCCACUCGUGCCUGAUGCAGCCCUCCUCUCAAGGAAGGGCGAGCUCACUGAAGGGGACAGGUCACAGGUCAGCCCAAUUCACCCUGAGCACAGAAAUGCACACUGCAUUUAGGACGGCCGGAUUGCUGGACCAAACCUGUCUCUCUGUCCCCUGCACACAUAUGCACAUGCGCAUGCACAGAGACGCAUGCUGAACUUCUACGGAAGAGGAGAGCGGUAGGACCAGGCUCUCCAGGGUCCUGCCUUGGGGUCUCUCCCCACAACUGUGGCAUAAACCUCUCUCCAGAAACAGAGGGCCUGAUAACCCGUCAGCUCCCCAGAAUCCGAAUCCUAAAAGGCUCUCCCCAGGGUUCGUCCGGCUUCAGCAGAGACCCUUCCCACCCAGGCCGGAGCCCUGCAUUCAGUUGCCAGGGACACCGUGCAGUACGGCCCCCAGCAACCUGAAGACAUCAAGGUCCCAUCCCCCUGCUUCCAAGCUGCCAACCUUCCUCAUUUCCUGGGUGGUGGGUAAGGGGCAGGGGGCAUGGGGCAGAAAGAGAUCCUCCCCCUCUCUUGGGGCUUCCUCCACCAGCCCCCUCCCCACUGAAGCUCCCUUCUGAAGGAGGCUGGAGAGCUGCUGCGGAGAGAGGAGCCCAUGUGGGAUGCCCUCCCAACACACACAGGCUGAUCACCUCACCAAAUCCUUAUUAAAACCAUCCCUGUUCAAAGGCAAAAUCAGCCAACCACCAGUGUCCCUCUGACCUAAUGUCCAGCAGGGCAAGAGCUCAAUGCCUGGAUGUCACCUCCAGGGCCUCAGCAACUGUGCAUCUCUGCUCAGGCUACCAAACAAAACACCCCAGACUUCGUGGCUUAAACACAGAAAUUUAUUUUCUCAUAGUUCUUAAGGCUGGAAGGCCAAGAUCAAGGUGCUGGCAGGGUUGAUUUCCGUGGAGGGCUCCCUGCUUGGAUUGCAGACGGCUGCCUUCUGGCCGAGAGCUCACGUGACGGAGACAGCGCACUCUCUGGGGUCUCCUCCUGUGAGGACACUAAUCCUAGCAGAGCAGGGGCCCACCCUGAGAACCUCACUUAACCAUAACUAUUUCCUUAGAGGCUCCAUUUCCAAAUACAGCCACCCUGAGGGUCGGGGCUUCCACAUCUGAAUUUGGGGGAGCACAAACAUUCAGCCUGUGACAAGGAUACCAACAGAUGUCAGCCACCACAGCCAGGCCUUGUGACCCAACAGGAGGCUGCGGUGUCCCUGGGCAUCGCUGGGGCAUGUCUCAAAUGGGUCUAAACCCAGUCUCUCUGGCUGAGAGCAGAGGUCUGAGAGGCUCAAUGGCAGGAAGGAGCCCAGUUCAGUGGGGAGGCAGAGAGCACGCAGCCUCCCUCCUUGGCGGGGUUCGGAUGCUGGCCAGCCUUCAGGGCUGGCCGGCUGCUGCCCAAGGCCUCCCGCUUCUCCAGGAAGGGCCCUCCCUUGCUCUCUCCCUCUCUGCACUCACCCCUUCUCCCUCUCCCUACACGCUUUUCCACUGUGAGACUGGAACAUCAUCGGGACAGCCCAGAAUGUCCUCUUCCCCUGCAGGAGCUCAGCAAACAUCCACAGAGUGAACAUUCCAAGCAACAUAGUCCAGGAGCCACGUUCCAGCCAUGGGGCCUCUGCACUGCUGUUCUCUUCACAUGGCCUGCCCUUCCCCCAGAAAGAGAGAAGAGGCCCUCUCUGGUUGUCCCAUCAAAACUCCACCCUUCUCUCACCCUCCUCCCAGCUGUAUCCCUUCUCUGCAGCCCUAACAUGCAUUCCACUUUAUUUCCCUUGUCUACUGUCUGCCUCUCUAACUACUAAGUCAGUUCCAGCCGCUCCAGGAUUUUUGUCUUUUCAGUUUAGCCCUGGUUCCUCAGGGCCUUAGUGACUAGUGUGUAGUGCCUAGCAGCCAGUAGAUGCUCAAUAACUGCUUGCUGAUUGACUGGGGUGAGCUCCCCAUCCAUGGAGCUAUUUCAAGCCAAGCCUAGACGAUCUUUCAGGGCUAGUUCUAACCUAAGACUUGGUAGUUCCAUGACUCUCUUCCUGGCCCAGACCGAAAAGGAACUUUCAGCAGGAACCCGGGACUGGGAUCUGAGAUGGGGCUCCUUGGAGGACUCUGACUAGGAAGAGAGACGGGAGGCCGCACCAAAAACACAAGCCCUUCAUGGGUCUCCCAGGCGUAGGUCUGGGGAAUCCCCCAGGCCCCUCAGGAUCGACCCUGCUGGCCCUGGAUCUCCAGGACGCGUCCCUCUGACCUGCCUGCCCGGCCUGUGAGUCCCCGGCAGCAACCGCUGCAGACACAGGCUGCCCAGCGCCAGGGCCAGGCCGGAUUAUCAUACAUUAAGACAUAAUUACUCUGCGGAAAUUUACAAUACAAAGCGCCCUCCCCAAGUUGGCUUCAGAAGGAUUCCAAGGAUACAAAGACCUGCUGUGUCUGCCACCGACCCAAGCUGGCCCCAGCCAGAAUUUCAAAAGAAGUGGGUGGGUUAGUUUUUGGAAAAACCCCAUUCUACCCUCCAGGCAGAAGCCCCGCCCCAAGGGUAGAGCCCUCUGAUACCCCAAGCCCCACCCAGAGGGGAGGGUCCCCUCCACCCCGACCAGCGUUGCUCCUAAACCACUCGGGUUCCCCCAAGCCCAGAAGCUCCAAGCUGACACCACCAAGGUCACCCCACUUCUCCCAAGUUCUCUCUUUUUAGACUAUUUAGGCCUAAGGGCAGAAAGAACCUUAAAUCCCAAGAUGCUAGCUUUUGACCUGCAGAGAGGUGUGGCAGCCCACUGACAUUGAUUAAGCGCCUGCUGUGUGCCUGGUACUGUGCCAGCAUCAGGAUGCCACAGAGAACAAGACAAACCAGAUCGCUGUGCUGGGGGGAGCUUACAGUCCAGUUGAGGAGACGCAGUAAGAUGCUAAAAAAAAAAAAAAUGCACAUCAGGUGUGCAGGAUGGGUGAGUGACCGGGGUGCACGGUGGCCAGAGAGCCUCAAAGGUGGCAUCUGAGCAGAGGCCUGAAUGAGCAAGAGAGACUAGCCUGUGCAAAGGCCCUGAGGUGGGGCCAUGUGUGGUGAGGGGUAGUGGAGGCAGAGAAUGCUGGCUUUUACUCUCAAGAGGGUUUCCAGCAGGGAAGCUGCCUGAUUCGGGGGACACUUGGCCUGCUGUUCUGUUAGAUUCCUGCAUCUACCACCUCCUGGCCCUGGGAUGCUGGGCAAGUCAGUUAGCCCUUUAAGCUUUUGUUCCUCCCUGCAAAAUAAAAACAGUAACCACAGCUAACACACGCUUGUUGCACAGAACAAGACAGAGAAAGUCGGGAAAGGGAGGGCCAUGCAUGUGAGGGGCGGGGGAGAAGCUCUCUGAGCCUUAGCUGCCCCA